UACGUAGGGGGCAAGCGUUGUCCGGAAUCAUUGGGCGUAAAGCGCACGUAGGCGGCUUGGCAAGUCGGAUGUGAAAUCCCUCGGCUCAACCAAGGAAGUGCAUCCGAAACUGCUGAGCUUGAGUACUUAAGAGGAUCGCGGAAUUCCCGGUGUAGAGGUGAAAUUCGUAGAUAUCGGGAGGAACACCAGUGGCGAAGGCGGCGAUCUGGGAAGAUACUGACGCUGAGGUGCGAAAGCGUGGGGAGCAAACAGG
rnacentral:rRNA from 1 species